GAUGAACUCUGGCGGCGUGCCUAAUACUUGCAAGUCGAGCGAACGGACGAGAAGCUGGCUCCACUGAUGUUAUCGGCGGACGGGUGAGGAACACGUGAAGAACCUCCCUCUAAGACUGAGAUAACUACGGGAAACCAGAGCUAAUACCGGAUAAUCUAUUGAACAGCAUGGUUCCAAAGAGCAAGACGUUAUUGCUGUCCAUUAUAGAUGGAUCCGCGCUGCAUUAGCUAGUUGGUAAGGUAACGGCUUACCAAGGCAACGAAGUAUAGCCCACCUGAGCGGGGGAUCGGCCACACUGGAACUGAGCCACGGUCCAGCCUCCUACGGGAGGCAGCAGUAGGGAAUCUUCCGCAAUGGGCGAAAGCCUGACGGAGCAACGCCGCGUGAGUGAUGAAGGUCUUCGGAUCGUAAAACUCUGUUAUUAGGGAAGAAAAUAAGUGUAAGUAACAGUGCACAUCCUGACGGUACCUCAUAAGAAAGCCCCGGCUAACCACUU
rnacentral:rRNA from 1 species